ensembl:rRNA 5S_rRNA 5S ribosomal RNA
GCCGGCAGCUAUCUCUCUGCAACUCUCACAUGGUUGCCCACUGAGGCUAAGCAGGGCUGCGCUUGGUCAGUACGUGGAUGGAAGACCACAUAGGAAAGCUAGGUUGCUGCUGGAA